AGAGGCUGAGGAGGAGACGUGUGGGCUGCGGCCGAGGAACACCUGCAUUUUAGGCAGGAGAAACGGUGCCUCGGUUUUUAAACGGAGACGAAUUUUUUGAAGUAUGAUUUGUUCUGUAAUUUUAUUUUGAACUGGCGUUUUUUUCUUCCCGAGUUCAGUAAUGCGUUCUGGUUUAACACAGAACCGUUUGUAAGGAAGACAAAUUCUUCUGAAUUGGUCUUUUUCACCCUGUAAACGCUUUCAUGUCAGGUACGACUCCUCUUGUUGCACCAUGAAGGAAACAAACACUACAGAAUUCAGUCUGGGCAAAAAUUAAAUGCCUACUUGAUGCUCAGUCACAGAGCAAAUGUAAAUAUUCAUUUAGAUAACCAAAGUUGUGUGCGUUAUGGAUGUAAACCAAAGAAUGAGCAUCAGUUUUAACAGUAACAUUGCUUUUAAAAACUAAUUCGUAAUACUAAAAAGCCACUUGGAAAUUUAAUAGGGUCUAGGAAAGGAUGAGCUUCCUUUAACAAUUGACAAGAAGUGGCAAUACAGAAGAAAGAUGUUCCUAAAAGUAAAAGGUCAGCCUGUAGGCCAGCUGUACUGGAACUCAAGUAAAGCCUCACCGAUUCUAAAUGCAGCAGAAGAAAGUUUCUGGAAUCUGUGAGGAAGGAAGAAUCUCAGUUUUUCUAGGGGACGGGCAGUCUGUCUACACAAACUCACACCCUGAAGCCAAGAACCAGCAAGACCUCGCCAAGAAACCCGAACAACUGCAGCACACCCAGCUCACAGACAACACAGGGCACCGACGUUCCCUUCAGGCCUCUCGGGGUUACAGCUUUUCUCUUGUGGCUGCACGGCUUCUUCCAGCAGGUGUUACAUCACCGCUCCCACGGAGAUGAUGUGAUGGGACUCAAUGAAUGACUUCAUCUCCUGGAAUUUUCUUCCUGUGGGCGUUAAUGCAAGGGGAGACUGUUUAACUAUUGAGUAAACAAUACAUUCAUGGGUUAUUGAUGUCUGGGUAACUGGAAGGAACAGCAAGUUUCAGCUGCUCACUGCAUUCUAUGCAGCAAAAAAAAUAACAGGUGCUUGUAUUUUAGAGCCUUUUGUAAAGAAAAGCACUGAGAUUUUUAAAUGUCAGAUGUAAAAGGAAUAGUAAUUAUUUUGUCAUCAGGUCUGAUCUUAGCUUUGGUGGGAAUAAAAGCGUUUCAUUAAAAUAA
ensembl:lncRNA